GAUUAGCGCACUCGGGGGCUUUUAGCNUUCGGGCGAUUCUCAAACUUUAAAUGCGCAAGGGUGCCGCUGCUUUAUUGAGCGGCACCGUUAAAAACGUCUGCCCUGUGGGCCACUUUUGGUAAGCAGAACUGGCGAUACGGGAUGAACCGUAAGCGUGGUUAAGGCGUCAAAUUAUCCGCUCAAAGAACCCAAAAAAGGUGUUGAUUCAUCGAGACAGCAGGACGGUGGCCAUGGAAGUCGGAAUCCGCUAAGGAGUGUGUAACAACUCACCUGCCGAAUGAAUUAGCCCUGAAAAUGGAUGACGCUUAAGCGGAUAGCCGACACCACGCCGUCUGAUCAAAGUGGUCUCAGAUGAGUAGGAGGGCGUGGCGGUCGUAUGGAAGCGUUCGUGCGAACGGGCGUGAAACGGCCGCUAGUGCAGAUCUUGGUGGUAGUAGCAAAUAUUCAAGUGAGAUCCUUGAAGGACGAAGCGGGGAAGGGUUCCACGCGAACAUUGAUUGAGCGUGGGUGAGUCGUUCCUAAGCCGAGUGGUCAUAGCUAAUUACCGGCGAAAGGGAAGCGGGUUGACAUUCCCGCACGCGGAUGUGGAGGCGGCGACGCCGAAUGAGGUGAUGACGUUGGCGGUGGCUCUGGGCAGAGUUUUCUUUUCUGUUUGACCGUCUCUGUACACUGUGUGGAAUCCGCUUGUCGGGAGAAACACGCGUGCAUGGGCAUAGCGCCGGGGCUUUUCCGGCGUCCAGAUCGCCACCGACGACCCUUGAAAAAUCACCCGCUGAAAUAUUCAAUCCACGCCGCGGCGUACCGAUCACCGCAUCAGGUCCCCAAGGUGAACAGCCUCUGUCCAAUAUGAAAAAUGCAGGUAAGGGAAGUCGGCAAAUUAGACCCGUAACUUUGGGAAAAGGGUUGGCUCUAGUGCUGCGUGGGAGUGGUUGUUGUAUUUUGGCUGCCUCAGCUGGGCACUUUGUUGCGGAGAGCCUUGUGUUUUCUGUGACAUCGAGUCUGGCCGGAGUAGCUGAGUGCGACGACGCCCACAGCAUGCAGCAGACUAGAACUGCAACGGGCAAAGGGAAUCCG
rnacentral:rRNA from 1 species